rnacentral:piRNA from 1 species
UGAGGUCAAUUCAGUGAAGUCCCGGCCAAU